CUGUAUGAGUCCUGGGUUCUCUACUUC
rnacentral:piRNA from 1 species